GUUUUUGUCUAGUUGUGAUUUACUUUGCAUUUUCGUACGUUUUCUCAACAACCAAACUGAGAAAGGAAAAAAGAAAUUAAAGACAAGCUUAUCAUGACCAUAUUCCGAUAUGGGUGUUCCAGAGGAUCGAAAAAAAAUUGUGUCAACAAUCAACUCCUCUCUUAUGGUGGCUCCAACCUGCAAAAACAACUCCAUUCAGUGCACUUGUUCGCAAGUUCUGUGGGUUUUGAUUUUUGUGGGUUUGCUUGUUUGAUUCAAUACCUGUGCAUUUGUUGGGCGACCUCUUUGAAAACAGCCGAUGCUCUGUGUUGCUGAGUUGAUGCCUUGGCAUCUUGGGGGCUAAGAAACAGGAGCCUGCAUCCUCUUCAACUGCAGUUUGAAAGGUUAUUAUACAUGGGGAUGAAAGUAGUGGAUUGGGACGAUUGUGAUGUUCCAGGCAGUUUAUUAGUGGCUAUUGGUCUGUAACCAUAUUAAAAAUAUUGUAAUUGAAAUUUAUAUCCUGUGCACAUUGCUUCAAACCCUAUUGAUUCAAGAUGAUUUUAAUC